rnacentral:rRNA from 1 species
GAUGAACGCUAGCUACAGGCUUAACACAUGCAAGUCGAGGGGAAACGAUAUUGGAAGCUUGCUUCCGAUAGGCGUCGACCGGCGCACGGGUGAGUAACGCGUAUCCAACCUGCCCACCACUUGGGGAUAACCUUGCGAAAGUAAGACUAAUACCCAAUGACGUCCAUAGAAGACAUCUGAAAUGGAUUAAAGAUUUAUCGGUGAUGGAUGGGGAUGCGUCUGAUUAGCUUGUUGGCGGGGUAGCGGCCCACCAAGGCGACGAUCAGUAGGGGGGCUGGGAGGCAGUUCCCCGACGACCAGACUGAGAAACGGCUCGUACACCUACGGGUGGCAGCAGUCGAGAAUAUUCCACAAUGGACGAAAGUCUGAUGGAGCGACGCCGCGUGGAGGAUGAAGGCCUUCGGGUUGUAAACUCCUUUUCUGUUUGAAGAAGAUCACUUCGUGUGGUUUGACAUUAAAAUAGGAAUAAGAGGUUGCUAACUCUGUGCCAGCCGCCGCCGUAA